CCUACGGGAGGCAGCAGUGGGGAAUAUUGCACAAUGGGGGAAACCCUGAUGCAGCGACGCCGCGUGAGUGAAGAAGUAAUUCGUUAUGUAAAGCUCUAUCAGCAGGGAAGAAAAUGACGGUACCUGAGUAAGAAGCCCCGGCUAACUACGUGCCAGCAGCCGAGGUAAUACGUAGGGGGCAAGCGUUAUCCGGAUUUACUGGGUGUAAAGGGAGCGUAGACGGCAGUGCAAGUCUGGAGUGAAAGGCGGGGGCUCAACCCCCGGACUGCUCUGGAAACUGUACGGCUGGAGUGCAGGAGAGGUAAGUGGAAUUCCUAGUGUAGCGGUGAAAUGCGGAGAUAUUAGGAGGAACACCAGUGGCGAAGGCGGCUUACUGGACUGUAACUGACGUUGAGGCUCGAAAGCGUGGGGAGCAAACAGGAUUAGAUACCCGGGUAGUC
rnacentral:rRNA from 1 species